UGGGGGAUAUUGCACAAUGGGCGAAAGCCUGAUGCAGCGACGCCGCGUGGGGGAUGAAGGCUUUCGGGUUGUAAACCUCUUUCGCUAUCGAACAAGGCCCGCUUAGGGUGGGUUGAGGGUAGGUGGAGAAGAAGCGCCGGCUAACUACGUGCCAGCAGCCGCGGUAAUACGUAGGGCGCGAGCGUUGUCCGGAAUUAUUGGGCGUAAAGGGCUUGUAGGCGGCUUAUUGCGCCUGCUGUGAAAACGCGGGGCUUAACUUCGCGCGUGCAGUGGGUACGGGCAGGCUUGAGUGUGGUAGGGGUGACUGGAAUUCCAGGUGUAGCGGUGGAAUGCGCAGAUAUCUGGAGGAACACCGAUGGCGAAGGCAGGUCACUGGGCCAUUACUGACGCUGAGGAGCGAAAGCAUGGGUAGCGAACAGG
rnacentral:rRNA from 1 species